rnacentral:rRNA from 1 species
CCUACGGGCGGCAGCAGUGAGGAAUAUUGGUCAAUGGACGCAAGUCUGAACCAGCCAUGCCGCGUGCAGGAAGACGGCUCUAUGAGUUGUAAACUGCUUUUGUACGAGGGUAAACGCAGAUACGCGUAUCUUUCUGAAAGUAUCGUACGAAUAAGGAUCGGCUAACUCCGUGCCAGCAGCCGCGGUAAUACGGAGGAUUCAAGCGUUAUCCGGAUUUAUUGGGUUUAAAGGGUGCGUAGGCGGUCGGAUAAGUUAGAGGUGAAAUCCCGAGGCUCAACUUCGGAAUUGCCUCUGAUACUGGUCGGCUAGAGAGUAGUAGCGGUAGGCGGAAUGUGUGGUGUAGCGGUGAAAUGCUUAGAGAUCAUGCAGAACACCGAUUGCGAAGGCAGCUUACCAGGCUACUACUGACGUUGAGGCACGAAAGCGUGGGGAGCAAACAGGAUUAGAUACCCGAGUAGUC